AGCGAACGCUGGCGGCAGGCUUAACACAUGCAAGUCGAGCGGGCAUCCUUGUGGUGUCAGCGGCAGACGGGUGAGUAACGCGUGGGAACGUGCCCUUCGGUUCGGAAUAACUCAGGGAAACUUGAGCUAAUACCGGAUACGCCCUUUUAGGGAAAGGUUUACUGCCGAAGGAUCGGCCCGCGUCUGAUUAGCUAGUUGGUGAGGUUACGGCUCACCAAGGCGACGAUCAGUAGCUGGUCUGAGAGGAUGAUCAGCCACACUGGGACUGAGACACGGCCCAGACUCCUACGGGAGGCAGCAGUGGGGAAUAUUGGACAAUGGGGGCAACCCUGAUCCAGCCAUGCCGCGUGAGUGAUAACAGCCUUAGGGUUGUAAAGCUCUUUUCUCCGGGACGAUAAUGACGGUACCGGAGGAAUAAGCCCCGGCUAACUUCGUG
rnacentral:rRNA from 1 species